rnacentral:lncRNA from 12 species
GCAAGCUGGAAUCUCUAAAAGCUGCAGGAAUUGAACAGUACAGGUAGCUUACUUAGAUGUGCCAUUCCCCCUCAGGGCUCUUGGUGACCUAGAACUCCUAUCAUCACUAAUUUGAAUUUUUACACCUUAAAAGCCUUCAAUGUUAAUAAAGCUCAAGGAAAACUUCUGAUUAUUGAAAUGUUAAAGAUUUAGGUUUAAAUUCAAAGCAUCUGGAUGAUGAAGUUCCUCUCUCUGAAAGUGGACCAGUUUUGGUAAUGUUACUGUUGUUUGGAAAACUGCCCUGAUAGGUAUUCUUCAGGUGAUGAAAUGAUGGCUUGAAUGGAGACAAGGAGAUGAGGAAAUGUUUUUGUGUACAUGAAUUAAGAAGACCAGCUGCUGAUUGUGAUCCAGAUGUGGCUUUUUGUUCCAUCCCUCGUCUCAGCUGCAUGCAAAGCAUUGAGAUGCAGAAGCCACCAGGUGAUACACAUGUCUCUGGAAAGGCAAAACUACUAUCAGAAAGUUUCAUAAGAAGAAUGAUACCAGCUGGUGACCUUAUCGUCAUUUCUGCUCUUCCACAAAUUGAACAAGGUCACUACACUCAGAGGGGUCUGCUGUUAUGGGCUUCAGCUGACUCUUUUUCUUGAUCUAUAUGGAUUCCAUCUGAGCCCAGAAGCUCUCCCAGAGUCUGAAUGAGUGGUACAUCUAUGGAGUCAUACAAGAAGGUCGUGAUUAGUAUAGAGAAUUGAUCACAACAAUGGAAUUAACUUAAGUAACUAGAUUGAACCUUAAGGAGGUAAGUAGGUUCAUAUAAAUGCACAUUUGGUGGUUGGCUCAGUGAUAGCAUAUCACUCUGUAUAAUGCAUUGAGGACUUAAUUCUGAAGUCAGAUUGUGAUUACAUACCAACUCUAUCAUUUACUAACCAUGAUCCAGAAACUACUAACUAACCUCUGCAUCACUCACUUUCCUCUUCUUCAAAUGGAUUACUAGUAGCAUCUACUUAUGAGGUGGUUGUGAAGAUAAAAUGUGAUGGAUAAGACAUGUAUACACAAAGUACCUAACAAAUAGUUGCCAUUGUCUCAUGUCUCGCUUCUGCAAUUCUUGCUUUAAAGAAGGUAACAUUAAUGACAUAGUCAUGACUAUUCCUCUGCCCUUGUCAGGUGCUCCUCUCAUCCCCUUCUUCAUGGCUGCAUUUCUACCUCUUCCUUCUUCAUUUCUGUCUCAGUGGCUUCUGGUUACAUGUACAUACAACUUAGAGCUUAUGUUUUUAUUGUCUCCCAGCUAGCUCUAGAAGUUUUGUUCUCCCUAUCCUUCUGAAUAUGUUCCUGGAGGACAGGUGGAAGAAUAUGCCACUAACCAGGAUCUUCAAUAGCUGGCCCAGCCUAGUAUCAUACCCAGAAAUCAAAUCCCUCUCUAGUUUUAUCAGCAUUUUCCUCCUGCUACUUUAGAACUUUCUCCUUCUUCAGACUCUGUGUACGUGUGUGUACGUGUGUGUACAUGUGUGUAUUUGCCUGGAUUGUUGUCCCCCAACCAUAUUUUGAAGUUCAUUUUGCUUCCAUAUUUGGGAGCCAGGCCAGCACCUUGAAUUUGUUUAUAAUGUCAGAACCUAUGCCAGAAACCCAAGGCCCUGCUAAUCAAAGAGAAGAUUUGUGGGACUAAAUUCUUAAGAAGUGACUAGAAGGUUGCUGCUUGGGAUACCUAAAAACAACUCAUGCCUGAUAUACUUCAUUUUGCUUAUUAAUAAUGGUAGUAGAAUAUCAUUUAUCAGUGAUCCCUAAACUUUUAAAUUCACAUGAAAAUAACAAAAGUUGUGCAGCCACGCCUGGAUGCAUCCUGUCCUAGGAUGACUUCCAUCCACCGCACAUUUUUCCUGGGGGUAUAUUGGAAAUAAACAGAAAAAGAAGUUUGGGGUACUUGAUGGG